UACGUAGGGAGCAAGCGUUGUCCGGAAUCAUUGGGCGUAAAGGGCGCGUAGGCGGCCUGGCAAGUGACGGGUGAAAGCCCUCGGCUUAACCGAGGAACUGCCUGUCAGACUGUUAGGCUUGAGACCGGGAGAGGUGAGUGGAAUUCCCAGUGUAGCGGUGAAAUGCGUAGAUAUUGGGAGGAACACCAGUGGCGAAGGCGGCUCACUGGACCGGAACUGACGCUGAGGCGCGAAAGCGUGGGGAGCAAACAGGG
rnacentral:rRNA from 1 species